rnacentral:ribozyme from 1 species
UUUAAAAUAAAAUCGACUAAUAUAUAUUUAAUGAAAGUUACACUAACCAAAUCAUAGAUUUGGAAGGUUAUUUGCCCGAUUACACUGGGUAAGUUUUGCUUACUAAAUCAAAGAUUUAGACCAUCACUUAAGUUGACGAGGUUGGGGAGUAUCGAAACUUCGGCGGGUGCCCCACGGUAUUUGCACUACCGUUAACAACUGGCAAAGCUAUAAAGUAAUUUAUAGAACAAAUCCAGUUAGGUGUUAAA